rnacentral:ncRNA from 1 species
GUGUUGUAUGUAAGGAGAGAAGAUCAGCACUCCCCUUGACAAGGACGGAAGAGGCUCUCGGGCCUGACAACAUGUAUACAGUUAAGGCAUUGCCACCGAUUUCAUGUCAUCUAACCACUGUUUUUU